rnacentral:lncRNA from 1 species
UCUAAUUCUAAAAAUUAAAACGAUAAGCUAGAGAUCAAAACAACAAAGCUUAACCACAUGACUAAAUAUAUGCAUAAAGAAAGUGUGAAUGGCUUAAAUAGCAGUUCAUAUACACAGUCUCUCAAAUGUUCUGAACUACUUGCCAACCGAACUAUCAGACCACAAAUUUUCCAACAAGACAAGAGGCAGCAUGAAUUUCCUAAGAAAUACUACUGCUAUAUUAAGAUGAAUAGGCCAGGCUAAAUACUAUUACACUACAUUACUGACUUCAUAAAUUCUAAGCAAAUUAUCUCAUCUCCUAUAGAAUCAGGGAAUACCUGAAAAUCGAACAAGAAAACCAAUAGAUCUGAAGUCAAAGGCCAAAAGUAGGGGGUCCGCAACAGGACAGUAGCCACGAACUCCAGCAGAAAGCAGCUCAACCAGAUCAAGUUCAAAAAUAUCAAAAGGGCAACCUCACUCGAGCCAAUACCAAAGCAACCCUCAAAACCAAAAACCUAAGUAACCAAUUUCAAUCCAUUUGAGCUAUACUCCCCAGAAAACCUUUUCAAGAAGUAGAGAACUUAAGAAAUCACUAGAGUAUUUCAAUGAAACAAUGAUUUUUGCUUCAGUUUCAGCUGUUUCCUUUUCUGUAUUUUUCA